CACGUAGGGUGCGAGCGUUGUCCGGAUUUACUGGGCGUAAAGAGCGCGCAGGCGGUCGUUCAAGUCGCGUGUGAAAGCCCCCGGCUCAACUGGGGAGGGUCACGCGAUACUGAUCGACUGGAAGGCAGGAGAGGGUAGUGGAAUUCCCGGUGUAGUGGUGAAAUGCGUAGAUAUCGGGAGGAACACCGACGGCGCAGGCAGCGUCCUGGCCGCUUGCUGACACUGAGGCACGAAAGCUGGGGGAGCAAACAGG
rnacentral:rRNA from 1 species